UUGGUUUAUACUAUACAUUCAACAAUAAUACAUGUCGAUUAUCGACUGUCGAGUGCCCUAUCUCAGUACUCAGUAUCUCAAAGACUCGAUGACUAAUGUCGCAAAUGAGUAAUGAUCAAAAUUCCUAAUUCGUCUUUGCCUUUCGGACUCUCGACCCUCGUGGAUAAUUGGUUUGUACUCGGUCCUCAUUAGCCAUUUCUCAACGUCAUCGGCUAUCGAAGCUAUACACAAUAAGAAAACAUGUCCAAACACCGUGAAUGGGAUCCAACUUGUAAAGUAUAUAUUGGUAAUUUAAAAAGCAAUGCCAAUAAAUAUGAAAUAGAAGAUGUGUUUACCAAAUAUGGUCCUUUGAAAAACAUUUGGAUAGCAAGAAAUCCACCAGGCUUUGCAUUUAUAGAAUAUGAAGAUCCACGUGAUGCAGAAGAUGCAGUCCGAGGAUUAGAUGGAACAAGAUGUUGUGGGUCCAGAAUUAUUGUUCAAAUGUCAACUGGAAAACGUUCCAGAGAUAAAUCACCUGUUUAUAGGUUAUUUAUUAUAGAUUCAACUUUAUUGAAUUCUUCAUCAUCACCACUACCACAUCCACUACUACCAUCACCUUUCAACACAGUACUACCAACUUGAGCCAGCAACAAACAACAGGGGGUGCGAGAUUCUUGAAUCCCCACUAGGCAUUCUAUUUUCAUGAUACAUUCAUCAUUUGGUCUUAGUUGUCAAAUCCCUCAAUUUUUAUUGCAGUACAAAACAACAACUUAGCAUUUGAAAUUCGUCUUCCUAGCUACUGCUGCAUGCUUUGAUUACAUUGUUUUUGCAUCAAUCAUCGUUCAUCAUUAUUCUGGUUAUAUUUUAGAGGACGAUCUUCACCUCCACGGCGUGCUUAUCGUUCAUAUUCACGUUCACAAUCAAGGAGUCGCUCACCAGUUUACAGAAGUAGAAAAUCUCGAUCAAGAUCUUAUUCUAGAGGAAAAUACUAAAAUCAC